rnacentral:tRNA from 1 species
GCGGCCGUGGCGGAAUUGGCAGACGCGCAGGACUUAGGAUCCUGUACCGCAAGGUGUGGGGGUUCAAGUCCCUCCGGCCGCA